GAAAUACCACUUCCGGUCUAAGUACCAACGAAGAAGCGCCUGCAUUGUUUUGUUUUCGGCUAAGGAAACCGAAGCUGCUAAGAUCCAGCGGUCGUGCGUCUUAAAAUUCUCGUUUUAAGGGUCGAUUCGUUUGUAUAAAUAUAUUUCCAACGAUACAGAACAACUUUUUUUUUUACAUUUAUAUAUAUUUAUUUUUAUUAACAUCGUAUUUUCGUAGUUGCUUUGUUUUAUUUACAAAGCUAACCUGUAAGCGGCUAGUACGCCUGGAUUAGCAUUCUUCUGUUUUUUGUGCACUUAGCUCCAUGAGGAAUAUCUCCCCGGAAAUCUGCACUCUCAGUAUUUUAAAUACUUUUAUCGAGUUUAACGCGUCUUUUAACGACUUGGAGGUCGUUUUACAGCGGGUUUUUCUGAUAUAACGCAGCGAUUGUCAGGAUGGUCUGUGAGCUGCUGCUGUCUUCGGUCUGGCUGCUGUUUGUGGUUUUCUGGGUGGAGACGAUCAGCGUGUGGCUCUUCCUCUGUCUCUUUUAUCAGGACCGAGCUUUUUAUCACUGGGGUGACGGGGUGUUUGCUGAUGAUCCUGGUCAGAUGCUCUACAUGCUGAGCAGGUCAGAUAGCUCCGUUCACACCCAGACCUGAGCUGGCGGCCUGUCGUCAGCUGGGAACGCCAAUUAACCAAAGAACUGGGGAGGAAAAAAUGGCUUCCCGAUCCGACAGCUGCCGCCUUUUGACGACCUGCGCCACGGCUAGCGACGGAGAAUUAGCGCAGGGCACGCGUCUGUGCGCAGAUUCUGCAUGGGUUGUUAUAAAGGGGACUUCUCUCUUUGUUUCCUCCGAAAGGAGAUUUCUUUACUUCUUAAAAAAAAAUAAAAAUUAUUAAAGGGGGGCAGCUCGGUGUAGUGAAG